rnacentral:rRNA from 1 species
GUGAACGCUGGCGGUAGGCCUAACACAUGCCAGUCGAACGGCAGCACAGUAAGAGCUUGCUCUUACGGGUGGCGAGUGGCGGACGGGUGAGGAAUACAUCGGAAUCUACUUUUUCGUGGGGGAUAACGUAGGGAGACUUACGCUAAUACCGCAUACGACCUACGGGUGAAAGCAGGGGAUCUUCGGACCUUGCGCGAUUGAAUGAGCCGAUGUCGGAUUAGCUAGUUGGCGGGGUAAAGGCCCACCAAGGCGACGAUCCGUAGCUGGUCUGAGAGGAUGAUCAGCCACACUGGAACUGAGACACGGUCCAGACUCCUACGGGAGGCAGCAGUGGGGAAUAUUGGACAAUGGGCGCAAGCCUGAUCCAGCCAUACCGCGUGGGUGAAGAAGGCCUUCGGGUUGUAAAGCCCUUUUGUUGGGAAAGAAAAGCAGCAGGUUAAUACCCCGCUGUUCUGACGGUACCCAAAGAAUAAGCACCGGCUAACUUCGUG